GAACGACAAGCCGAAUGAAGACGACAGCCAGUUGGCGAGCGCAGAUAAAUUAUAAUUGGGCAUUUCGAGUCCAAACAGACAGCUGUGUCUUAAUCAACAACCUGACAAUUCUCUUCUGCUCUCAUAUUAUGAAAGGUCUUAGAACCGAUAAUUACACUUAAGUUUGUAUCUUAGCAGACACUCUGUGAUCACAACGUACGAGACUUUAAAGCCUUGCUCACAUUUCUGAGAGUCCGAAGCAUUAAUUCCAGCGCCAGACCACUCCUCCUGCAAAUAUCGCACGGUGCAAUGGAGAAUUAAUGUGCCCGGGAACUUUGCUGCAGACUCACAGGUCGGUAAUAAAGUUGGACAGCACUCACUAACAGAUUCAGUCGGCCUGGGUAUUCCGUAGUGUCGGUCCAGCAACAGAAUGAUAUUCACAAGAACCAGCAUCACUUAGCAGCAGGCCCGAACAGCUGCGAUGAGGGGGUCAGCGCAUUAGUAAAAUACAGCUGUACGGUGGAGGAAAACGUCAACUGAGCAGUUCAUAGCCAAUAAAAUUCCGGAUGAAUUAUGCCCAUUUCUCAAGUCACUGAUGGGAAGAGCAGUCCCAGGGUCCCCGAACAGCAAAUCUGCGUCUUGUGCCGGAGCACACAAAGGAACAGUGACAGCAGUGUGUAACUCUACUGCAAGAUACAAUGUAGCUUGUGCGUUACAGGAAUUAGUUACACUCCCUGCAUAAAUCAAAGCAACAUCCAGUUAUAUGAAAAAAUUAUUUUGGAUUGCCAAGCUAAAUAGACAAUUACAGGAAAAGCAAAUUAUGCAUACGGAGCGUACCCUCAAGGCUUCAGGCCAAGUCCAUGUCAAAUCAAUAAUAAGCAGAAUAUCCUCACUAAAAACAGCUUCUGAGGAUCCACGUCACCGGCAUUUUCAAAGUUAUGCGGAGGAUGUAUUGAUACAUGUCACGUUUCCUUUCUCAUAUACUCUCAGGGACAAAAUAUCCAGACAAUCCGGAGAACCUUACUGAGCGAGCGUGAGUCAUGGGCUCAUGGGAGGUGGAGCGCCCAGAAUAUAAGUAAGUUUCAUUAAAAACGCAACAUCAUAUUGCAUUAUAAUGGUUAUUGUACCAUGACGAAAAAAAAUGGAAAAUGAAAACAUGUGGGACUUGAUGGCUUUCAGAGACAUGAGGUGUAUGAUGUAGAGUGGUCGGAGCUUGUGCUGUCGAGUCACAGCCGAGAGAGGCUCUGAUUAGGUGAAACGCGUUGGUCACCACUCACCAGCAGGGUUAUUGUACCCUGAAAAAAGAAAACACAUGAGACUUGUUGGCUUUCAGAGACAUGAGGUGUAUGAUGUAGAGUGGAUGGAGUUUGUGUUGUCGAGUCACAACCGAGAGAGGCUCUGAUUAGGUGAAACGCGUUGGUCACCACUCACCAACAAGGAUAUUGUACCCUGAAAAAAGAAAACACAUGGGACUUGUUGGCUUUCAGAGACAUGAGGUGUAUGAUGUAGAGUGAGCGGAGCUUGUAUUGUCGAGUCACAACCGAGAGAAGCUCUGAUUAGGUGAAACGUGUUGGUCACCAGCAAGGUUAUUGUACCAUGAAAAAAAGGAAAAAUGAAAACACAUGGGACUUGAUGGCUUUUAAAGACAAGAGGCAUAGGAUGAUGGCUGAAGGAGCUUGUGUUGUCAAGUCACAAUCAAGAGAGGCUCUGAUUAGGCAAAACGCGUUGGUCACCAGCAAGGUUAUUGUACCAUGACAUAAAAAAGGAAAAAUUAAAAGAUAUGGGACUUGUUGGCUUUCAGAGACAAGAGGCGUAGGAUGAUGACUGAUGGAGCUUAUGUUGUCGAGUCACAACAAAGAGAGGCUCUGAUUAGGUGAAAUGCAUCGAUCACCAGCAAGCUGCCAUUGCACAUCCUCCAUCACUGCCACAGCAUGGAUACUGCCACUGCGCCAACAUCUGAAGCAACUACUGGACCCCACGGACUCAAGAGGCCCCUGCUUGAAUAGUGCAAGACCUACACUGAGUAUCCAGCAAAGGAUGCUCUAUAAGGGGAGGUGUGGACUCAACCCACUACCCACCAAGCACUGCAGGAUCCCUGCUAACACUUACCACACUUACUGGUGACUGCACUGCCACUGCACUCACGCAGGUCCACUGCUAUCUGGUACACCCCGGUAACCACUACACCAGGGUGAGGCAUACAUAUGUACUCUUACUAUAAGUGGCUCCCCCAUCAGGAGUCACUCUCUCAUACCAGGUCAUCACAUUAGGGUAAUUACACUGUUCCCGAAGGACCAUUUUGUCAUAGUUUGUGAAUGCACCGACAGGACACAGGUGAGCACUGGAUAUAAAUUUCUCAGCUACAUUACGUAUCUACCGAACAUGUCGAGAAUUCAGCUGCUCCCAGCACUGGGUCUACUCAACCUGAGCGCACAUCACAUCCUAGUUCUCGAGUCACAACUGAAGUUAUGAAAUAAAAAUAUGGAUAACUAAAAUUGUGUCAUAUCAAGGAGAGAGAGCCAGUGGUUUUGAUGAAAGUGAAUGCUAGAUGUAGGACAUAGAGUAAUGCUAUGAUUCCAAAUCAUUGCAAAUUAAUGGAAUUAGAGGUCUAGUUACAUUAAUUUGCAUACAAAUCCAUUGGAUGUACAAUAACUGCCAGUGUAGUGAACAUUUUCCUUUACCACUUUAAAAUGGCUGCAGGACAGGUGUGGGAGCGGGAGGUGUAAUGUGAAGCCACCAUGCCUGACAUAGGUCCUUCUACCCAACCCCCAAAAGCCUUAUACAUCCCUGGUUUUCAUUUGGGGGCAAAAGGCUGCACAGAACAUCAUUUGGCUUCCCUUCAGCAAUGGUUGGUUGAUCGGUACCUGCAUAGCGGGUCUGAGAUCCGUGCAAUAAGUGACUGUGCCCAACCUUGCCACCCAAAAUCUCUACUACAGAAUCUAGCUUCAGGGCAUGACGCUACUUCAUGCAGUAAUUUGACAUCUUACAGGACAAUAAAUGUCAACUGUGCUCUGCCACAUAUAGGCAUGCAGAGCAUUUAAUUUGGUAUAUUGAGGACACUGUUACCGCUGGUCAAGCUGCAGAGCAGCAGCGGUGACUGGAGGCCACUUGGAUGUGCGCAGGGUCCAUUCAGUGCAAGGAGAGGCCGCUCCUAUUUACAUACUCUCCCAGAACCUGCAGGAGACACUCAAUUGUUUGGCUAGUCCCCCGCAUCCCUGGAAGAGUGGGCUUUCUUCCUGCAUUCCCCUCCUGUGGUCCGUUGGGAGAGGGCGGGGCUUAGUAUUGUGAUUCUAUUUUAAUUGUGCCAUUUUAGCCCCACCCCUAAUCAAAUUUGUGCAAGCAUAUUUGCCAGUGGGGGCGGGCACUGAUAUUGUGCAAAAUGGGGCUAUUUGGCACCCUUUGAGAACAAGUUAGUGUGGCACUGCAUGUGUAUAUAUGUCAAUAAACAAGUCAUAUACAAGGGACACUUUUAGUUGUCAGCAAGAAAACAUAUGACACUAGAGGCCUAGUUGUCAGGCCGCCAUACCGAUGAAACGCGGCCCGAUGAAGGAAACUCGUAAACUUGCCUGGAAAGUUAUCAUCGGUGUCCCAGAGGCCAGCUCUGUAAUCUGUCAUUGUUAGUUAUUAAAAUGAUUCCUUGUUUUA